UAGUGGCGUCCGAUUAGUACAUAUCUGUAGCUCUGUUCUUGCCUAGCAAGUGCAAAACAUUAUGAUGUGAUAUGUUGGUUGUUAGUAGUGCUGUUUCAAUUGUGAGCGACGUUUGAAAUGAAACUUUGCAAAUUGAGAAAAGUUUCAGAUGGAAAAUACUAGCUGGAUCAAAAGUUUUGCCACCUUUGCUGAUGCUUCAUCCUACAAGUCAGUGUCUCCCUCUCCUGAUGUUCUAGCUAGUGCUCUUUUCAUGUGUACUACUCAUAUGUGAUACAUGCUCUCCAAUCGUAUCGGCAGAUAUGCAAGUCAUGGCAGAUGGUAAUAAGUGGGCUCCUGUACAAAUUGCUAUCAAGCUUUUUAUAAACCCAAUCUGGCAUACAUCUGUACAGAUGAGAUUGGUACUUUCUGAAUAUUGAAUCUAUAUCACAUUAGCAUAAUUUUUUUCCUUUUUUUGCGGGGGAAUAAUUUGUAUUACUCAAACCAGACCAUCUCGGUCUCUGUUACAAAGUUCCAACAAGAAAUCCGUACCUGAGCCUAGCCAUACUGUAGUGAGAGUUCUAGACUCACUCCUACCAUACGAUGCCAUAUGACCUGCUGGUUGUAGGUCCAAUUUUAGGGCAUUUUUAACAGAUCCCUUAUAACCGGUUAGAGGAGUAAAAUUUCUACUUUACUCUCUAACCAGCACCUAGCCAAUCCCUUACCCGCCGUAAGGGAGUAUAGUUUUUACUCUUGCCCAAUUUACUCCACCGCGCGGCGGCUGAGUAAAAAUCACGCCUCUCCCUCGCGUCUCCCCUAGCCCCUACAAAUUCGCUGGCGUGACUCCCGACGACCGCCCACCGGCGCCACCGCUACCUCGUUGCUUCCCCUACCCCCCACCGCCCUUCUGCCCACUAUCGAGUACGUUCGGCCCCCAUUGCCGUCGCCGGAAUCAAGGUGAAACGCCGCCGCCGUCUCCAUUGUUGACUCGUCGGAUUACUUGGUUGCUUCUUCUUUUUUUGUCGGCCGCCGCAUCUCACCUUGAUUGCACACCACUGCAGGCCAUUCCCUCUCUCGCCACCAUCCUGUUUGGUCAGAACGACACCGGCGGACCGGUGCACCACCACCGCAUCGCAAGUGUUCGACGAUUUGCGCAGGUGAGUUUUUUUAUCAUUUCUUUGUGAACUGAGUCAUUUGGAUUGAACCUAGCCGUUUGAAUUGUAGAUGAAGAGCUUGAGGGAGAUGUCCUUGGAGGACUCGUCAUCAUCCGAAGAGGAAGAAGACGACGAUGACUUUGACACCGUUUUAGGCAUGAUUUUCAAUGAUGCUGUUCGGCGGCCGAGGGGUGGGUCUCAAUUUGUCUGCAUAAACAUCAACUGUGAUAGAGCGGAGGGUCAUGCCAAAAUAAUGAGAGACUACUUUGACCCAAAGCCAACCUAUCCGGAGAAGUACAUUCGUCGGUGCUUUUGGAUGCACACAAGUCUUUUUCUGAGCAUUGCAAAAGCCGUUCAGAGAUAUGAUGAUUGGUUCAGGCUUCGAAUAAAUGCAUGUGGAGAGAUAAGUGCAAGCCCUCUGAUGAAGUGCAUUGCAGCCGUUCGAGUCUUGGCAUAUGGGUGUUCGGCCAAUGCAACCGAUGACUAUGUCCGCAUUGGUGAAGACACAAUCUUAGAGGCUGUUCGAAGGUUCACUAAAGCAGCGAUCGCUGUCUUUGGCCUAGAGUACUUGAGGGCACCAACCGAAGAAGACAACAAGAGGCUGAUGAUUGAGGUGGAGCAAGAGGAUGGCCAGAGAUGCUUGGAUCACUUGACUGUAUGCACUGGACAUGGAAGAAUUGUCCUGCAGGGUGGAAGGGUUAGUACAAAGGCCACUGCAACGAUCCAACGAUCAUUCUUGAGGCAGUUGCACCGAAGGAUUUUGGAUAUGGCAUUCAUUCUUUGGUCUGCUUGGCUCUCACAAUGACUUGAAUGUGUUGUCGAGAUCACCGCUGUUUUCUAGGCUUAUUAAAGGUGAAGCAACUACUCGGUCAACAGGCACAACAACUCGAUGGGUUACUACCUUGCGGAUGGAAUCUAUCCACCAUGGGCCACCUUGGUCAAAACAAUUUCACGUCCAAAAGGUAACAAAAACAUUCACUUUGCCCGAUGUCAAGAAGUUGCUAGGAAAGAUGUUGGGAGAGCCUUCGGUGUGUUUCAGAAGUGCUUUGCAAUUGUUCGUGGCCAUGUCGAGUACUGGACCUCCAAGGUUCUAUGGCUGACCCUGACUUGUUGCAUCAUAUUGCAUAACAUGAUCAUUGGAGAUGAGAGGGAUAUGCCUGAGAACUUUCGGUACAUCACCAACGGGACUCCGGUUGAGCCAGAGACAUGAUCUUGACAUUCCUUGAGAAGCAUCGCAAGAUCGAGAACCGUUAAAUUCAUGCUCAGCUCGAACAAGAUCUUGUUGAGCAUCACUGGCAAUGUCUUAACAAGUCCUGAUUGUUCUGUCACAUGUUAUUUGCUACAUUUGAACCACUUGGCAUGUUUAAAUUUGAAUAAUUCGGUUUGUAAACUUUGAAUUCGGUUUGUAAACUAUAUUCGCGAUUUGGCUGAACAUUCAAAUUUAUGUUUAGUUUCCAUAUGCGUGUUAGUAUGCAGUCCCUCCGUUCCUAAAUAUUUGUCUUUUUAGAGAUUUUAAAUGGACUACCACAUAUGGAUGUAUAUAGACAUAUUUUAGAGUGUAGAUUCACUCAUUUUGCUCCGUAUGUAGUCACUUGUUGAAAUCUCUAGAAAGACAAAUAUUUAGGAACGGAGGGAGUAAUUACAAUUUAUACUAGAAUUGCAAAGUUUAGAAAAAACAAGAAUUUACUCCCUUAAAUAUAAGGGAUCAGUUAGGUCCGGCCAAAACUUAGUGGAGUAAAUAUACCCCACUAAAGGUUUACUCCACCCGAUAACCCACUAUUUUUAGGGGAUCAGUUAGAAAUGCCCAUAUGUGAGUAUCUCCGUGUAGUGUGUUCGGGUUCUUUUCCCUCUAGUAUUCCCCUUGCUUUAACGAAAAUGGCGGAGCUCCUGCCGCUGCCCAUAAAAAAAAAGAACAUGUGCCUAUGUGUCAUGUCCAUGUGGCAGUUUUUGCCCUAGGUUGUAAAGCAACCUAUAUUUCUGUCAUUCCCAAAAUUCCCAAAAAAUCUCAUAAAUUCUUUGGGUCAUAUCUUCGUCAAAUAUGUAAAAAACCUACCUUGCCUAGUUCAAAAAUAAUUCAAAAAUAUUCAUUUUCCUAUUCUGUUCAGAAAAACACUUUGUGAAGGAAGUACCACUUUGGCAUGUCCAAAUGGUAUCUAUUUUCUACAGUGCUUUCCUAUGCCCAAAUAACCAUCCUCCACCAAAUGCCAGCUCAAUCCAUUCAUUAUUUUGAGCCCAGCUUCAACAUUCGUAUUUAUGUCCAGUGUGCUACUUUGCAAAGCAAGUACCACCUAGGCUCCUCCUUUUGAGCUGAAAAUUUGUGAAGACGGUCUUCUUAGUAACUGAUCAUCCUCAGCCAAAACUCACGCCCAUUAGCCAUGUGCAUUUCCCGUACCGCUAAUCAAACACUUGGCUGCUUAUUCAUGUUUGAGCAUCGAUCGGUCUCCUCGUGAGAAUCUUAUGUUGUGAUUUUCUUCCUAGCACCUACCUGGGGAGUGCCCAACCCACUAGACAUGCCUAGGCCACCCAGAACACAUGGCAACGCCACGGUCACGCGGUGACCACGCGGCGUGCAUGCGAGUUUAUGAUACGUCUCCGUCGUAUCUACUUUUCCAAACACUUUUGCCCUUGUUUUGGACUCUAACUUGCAUGAUUUGAAUGGAACUAACCCGGACGAACGCUGUUUUCAGCAGAAUUGCCAUGGUGUUAUUUAUGUGCAGAAACAAAAGUUCUCGGAAUGACCUGAAACUCCACGGAACUUAUUUUUGGAAAAUAUUAAAAAUACUGGAAGAAGAAUCCACGUCAGGGGGGCCUCCACCUGUCCACGAGGGUGGGGGCGCGCCUGCCCCCCUGGGCGCGCCCCCUGCCUCGUGGGCCCCCUGUUGCUCCACCGACCUCAACUCCAACUCCAUAUAUUCGUGUUCGGGGAGAAAAAAAUCAGAGAGAAAGAUUCAUCGUGUUUUACGAUACGGAGCCGCCGCCAAGCCCUAAACUCUCUCGGGAGGGUUGAUCUGGAGUCCGUUCGGGGCUCCGGAGAGGGGAAUCCGUCGCCGUCGUCAUCAUCAACCAUCCUCCAUCACCAAUUUCUUGAUGCUCACCGCCAUGCGUGAGUAAUUCCAUCGUAGGCUUGCUGGACGGUGAUGGGUUGGAUGAGAUUUAUCAUGUAAUCGAGUUAGAUUUGUUAGGGUUUGAUCCCUAGUAUCCACUAUGUUCUGAGAUUGAUGUUGCUAUGACUUUGCUAUGCUUAAUGCUUGUCACUAGGGCCCGAGUGCCAUGAUUUCAGAUCUGAACCUAUUAUGUUUUCAUGAAUAUAUGUGAGUUCUUGAUCCUAUCUUGCAAGUCUAUAGUCACCUACUAUGUGUUAUGAUCCGGCAACCCCGAAGUGACAAUAAUCGGGACCACUCCCGGUGAUGACCGUAGUUUGAGGAGUACAUGUAUUCACUAUGUGUUAAUGCUUUGGUCCGGUACUCUAUUAAAAGGAGGCCUUAAUAUCCCUUAGUUUCCGCUAGGACCCCGCUGCCACGGGAGGGUAGGACAAAAGAUGUCAUGCAAGUUCUUUUCCAUAAGCACGUAUGACUAUAUUCGAAAUACAUGCCUGCAUUACAUUGAUGAAUUGGAGCUAGUUCUGUGUCACCCUAUGUUAUGACUGUUACAUGAUGAACCGCAUCCGGCAUAAUUCUCCAUCACCGAUCCAAUGCCUACGAGCUUUUCACAUAUUGUUCUUCGCUUAUUUACUUUUCCGUUGCUACUGUUACAAUCACUACAAAACCCAAAAAUAUUACUUUUGCUACCGUUACCGUUACUUCCAUAUUACUUUGCUACUAAAUACUUUGCUACAGAUACUAAGUUAUCCAGGUGCGGUUGAAUUGACAACUCAACUGCUAAUACUUGAGAAUAUUCUUUGGCUCCCCUUGUGUCGAAUCAAUAAAUUUGGGUUGAAUACUCUACCCUCGAGGACUGUUGCGAUCCCCUAUCUUUGUGGGUUAUCAAGACUAUUUUCUGGCGCUGUUGCCGGGGAGCAUAGCUCUAUUCUUUGAGUCACUUGGGAUUUAUAUCUGCUGGUCACUAUGAAGAACUUGAAAGACGCAAAAACAACAAUUUAUUCCUCAACUAUGAGGGGAGGUAAGGAACUGCCAUCUAGCUCUGCACUUGAUUCACCUUCUGUUUUGAGUAAGCUUGCGACACCUAAACCUGCUUCUCCUAUUAAUUCUGAUAUGUCGCAUAUUAUUGAUGAUGCCACUUCUGCUAUGCAUGAUACUUAUGAUGAAACUACUUCUAUGCUUGAUACUACUGUGCCACUAGGUGAAUUUCUUGAUGAACAACUUGCUAGGGCUAGAGAGAAUGAAAUUAUUGAAACUGAUAAUAUUGAAGAUAGUGAUGAUGAAGACUCUCCCCCUAAUAAAUAUGAAUUGCCUGUUGUGCCCGAGGGCUAUGUUAUGGAUGAAGAAGCUGCUAGAGCUAUUUUAGCUUGCAAUGAUAGAUAUGAUCUUAAGAAGUUAUUAGCUAAAUGGAAGCAGAAAUCUCUUAAUGCUAGAAUGAAACCUGACCCUGCUUUUGCUACUUCACCUAUCUGUGUUACUGAUAAGGAUUAUGAAUUCUCUGUUGAUCCUAAUAUAAUUACUUUGGUUGAAUCUGAUCCUUUUUAUGGCUCUGAAUCUGAAACUGUUGUGGCACAUCUUACUAAAUUAAAUGAUAUAGUCACCCUGUUCACUAAUGAUGAGAGAACUCGCUACUUUUAUAUCCUCAAAAUAUUUCCGUUCUCCUUAAAGGGUGAUGCUAAGAUAUGGUUUAAUUCUCUUGAUCCUGGUUGUGUGCGUAGUCCCCAGGAUAUGAUUUAUUACUUCUCUGCUAAAUAUUUCCCCGCUCAUAAGAAACAAGUUGCUUUAAGGGAAAUAUAUAAUUUUGUGCAAAUUGAAGAAGAGAGUCUCCCACAAGCUUGGGGGAGGCUUCUCCAAUUACUUAAUGCUUUGCAUGAUCAUCCUCUUAAGAAAAAUGAAAUACUUGAUAUCUUUUAUAAUGGACUAACCGAUGCUUCCAGAGAUUACCUGGAUAGUUGUGUUGGUUCUAUUUUCAGGGAAAGAACACCGGAUGAAGCUGAGAUUCUAUUGAAUAAUAUGUUGACAAAUGAAAAUAAUCGGACACUUCCUGAGCCACUUCCCGAGCCUAUCCCUAAACCAACUCCGAAGAAAAGAGGUGUUCUAUUUCUCAGUCCUGAAGAUAUGCAAGAGGCAAAGAAAUCUAUGAAAAAAAAGGGUAUUAAAGCUGAAGAUGUUAAGAAUUUACCACCUAUUGAAGAAAUACAUGGUCUUAAUUUACCGCCUGUUGAAGAAAUAUAUGAUCUUGAUCCAUUACCUAUUGAAGAAACACAUGGUCUUGAUAACCCGACACAGGUAGUAAAGGUAAAUUCUCUCUAUAGAUUAGAUGAAGGUGAUAUUCCUUGUUAUAAGUCUGCUAGACAAUGCUUAGAUGAGUUUGACAAUUUUAUUGUUAAACAGGAAAACUUCAAUGCUUAUAUUGGUAGACAAUUGAAAUAUAAUUCCGAUACGCUUGAACACUUGGGUGAUUAUAUGUCUAGAGUUAAAGGUGAACUUAAACUCAUUAGUAAACAUGCUUCUAUGGUUACUACUCAAGUAGAACAAGUACUUAAAGCUCAGAAUGAUUUGCUCAAUGAAUUAAAUAGUAAGAACAAUGACUUUGCUGUUAGAGUGGCUACUAGAACUGGUAAAAUGACUCAGUAACCUCUGUAUCCUGAAGGCCACCCUAAGAGAAUUGAGCAGGAUUCUCAAAGAAAUAAUUUAGAUGCACCUAGUCCUUCUAAAAAGAAGAAAAAGAAAAAUGAUAGGACUUUGCAUGCUUCUAGUGAACCUAUCGCUGAAACACCUGAGAAUCCAAAUGAUAUUUCUAUCUCUGAUGCUGAAACACAAUCUGGUAAUGAACAUGAACCUAGUGAUAAUAUUAAUGAAGAUGUUCACGUUGAUGUUCAACCUAGUAAUGAUAAUGAUAUAGAAAUUGAACCUGCAGUUGAUCUUGAUAACCCACAAUCAAAGAAUCAACGUUAUGAUAAGAGGGACUUUGUUGCUAGGAAGCAUGGUAAAGAAAGAGAGCCAUGGGUUCAGAAACCCAUGCCCUUUCCUCCCAAACCAUCCAAGAAAAAGGAUGAUGAAGAUUUUGAGCGCUUUGCUGAAAUGAUUAGACCUAUCUUUUUUGCAUAUGCGAUUAACUGAUAUGCUCAAGAUGAAUCCUUAUGCUAAGUACAUGAAAUAAAUUGUUACUAAUAAAAGAAAAAUACCGGAAGCCGAAAUUUCCACCAUGCUUGCUAAUUACAUUUUCAAGGGUGGAAUACCUAAGAAACUAGGAGAUCCAGGAGUACCAACUAUACCAUGCUCUAUUAAAAGAAACUAUGUUAAAAUUGCUUUGUGUGAUCUUGGAGCCGGUGUUAGUGUUAUGCCUCUCUCUUUAUAUCGUAGACUUGACUUGAAUAAGUUGACACCUACUGAAAUAUCUUUGCAAAUGGAUGAUAAAUCAACUGCUAUACCUGUCGGUAUUUGUGAGGAUGUGCCUGUUGUAGUUGCAAACGUUACUAUUUUAACGGACUUUGUUAUUCUUGAUAUUCCCGAGGACAAUAGUAUGUCUAUUAUCCUUGGAAGACCCUUUUUGAAUACUACAGGGGCUGUUAUUGACUGCAACAAGGGCAAUGUCACUUUUCAUGUUAAUGGUAAUGAGCAUACGGUACACUUUCCGAGGAAACAACCUCAGGUCCACAGUAUCAAUUCUAUUGGAAAAAUUCCAUCGAUUAUUUUUGGAGGUUUUGAAUUUCCUCUUCCUACUGUCAAGAAGAAAUAUGAUAUUCUUAUUAUUGGGGAUGUGCAUAUCCCCGUUGAGGUAACAUAGUGUUAUUCGAAAUUUCUCCGGUUCCAUGUUAUUCGGAAUGAGUUUGUUAACAAGACUUGAUCAACCUUGUUAGUGGAUUCCUUUUGAUGAGCAUGAGAUGGAUGAAACUAGAAGGCACAACCUUCUGUACCCUCCUUUUACCUUUUGUUAUUUAGUUGAAAUAAAGCAAAAAUUAGUAUUUCCCUGUCUGUUUUCUGAAUUAUCCGUGCAAUAUAAAAAUACCUCGAAAAUAAAAGUUCUCCAAAUGCCCUGCCAAUUUAAUAUGAUUUUUUCUGGAAUAUUUGAGAAUAUCUGGCACUAAGAACACAGCAGGGGGAGCAAGCACCUGGCCACGAGGGUCCAGGGCGCGCCCCCUGCCUCGUGGGCCCACGAUGGCUCCCCUCCACUUAUUCCUGCACCCACACACUUCUUCUUCCUCCCAAAAAAAUCACCGUCCAACUCAAGCACGAGUUCUAGCUCAUUUUGCUGCGAUUUUCGAUCUCCUUGUUCAAAGCACCUCUCACAAAACUGCUUUGGGAGAGUGUUCCUUGGUAUGUGACUCCUCCAUUGGUCCAAUUAGUUUUUGUUCUAGUGCUUUAUUCAUUGCAAAUUUGUGCUGCCUAGGUGACCAUGUUCUUGAGCUUGCAUGUCAAAUUUAUAUGGUUCCAAGUAGUUCUAAUGCUUGAUAUAGUCUCUAGGCACUUGUAGGAGUAGUUGCUAUCAAUUUUGCUGAGCUUGGUUCACUUUGUUUGAAGUUACUAAAAAUUUCAGAAUUUUUCAGAAAAUAAUGAAGAGAUUUUUGAGGGGCUCAUCGAGCCGAAGCUCGAAGGAAAAGCAAAGUGAGGAAGCAGAGAGGCCCAAAUAUAAUCUGCCUCGCACUGCGGAGGUUCGGCCGUGUGAAUGGCCUUCCAAUGAUUUCUUGAGAGCAGCCGGGAUUUAUGAUGAUUUUUAUGAAUUGGCUGAGAAUGCAGGCCUCACCGACUUCCUCCGCGACCAACGCGAACAGUAUCUCUUACUCACCAAUACUUUUGUGCAAAACAUCUACUAUUAUCCUAAGGAAUCACCCCCUUCAGUAGAGUUUCAUUUAUAUGAUGUGGUCAAGAAGAUGCCACUAGAUGAAUUUUGCAGGGUUUGCAAAAUACCUUUCGAGGGUGGUUUAGAGGAACCACAUCGUAAAGAUGUGGACGGGUUUAUUGACACUAUUACUGUAGGGGAAACUAGGAAGGUUUCUGAUGCAAGAAUCACUAGCAUACAUUUUCCUGUUUUACGCUACUUUGCCAUAUUUGCUAGUCGUUGCUUAAUUGGUCGCGGAAACUGUGGAAACCUUAGUGUUCCUGAUAUUAUUAUUUUGUUCCAUGGUUUAUUUUGUGAUGACUCUGUUAGUAUGGGCGGUAUUAUUGCUAAACGGUUAAGUCUGAACCGUACAAACGGCCCCAUCUUUGGAGGUAUUUACACUUCACGCCUUGCUGCACACUAUAACAUACCUAUUAGGCACUAUGAAAAAGAAGAAAAAUUGCUGCCCACUGUUUAUUCAGAUUAUAAGAGUAUGGUAGCACAUGACUUUAUUGUUAAGAAUAGGGAAGGGGCGCUUAAAUACAAAUUGUUCUUUGAUAAACAUCACCCUGAGACUAUUACCUUGCCCGCUCCUUCCUUGUUUAAUUUAUCUGCAGGUCCGUAUCUCGUUCCGCUGGCGGCCAUUCAUGCCUACCGGAACCCUACAUCAGCCACAGAGCCGGAGCCGGAACCACAAUUUGAUCUUCCACGACAAUCUAAUUACCAGUGGGAUCCGGAGAUGAUUGCCAACCAGUGGCAAUCAGAGUAUUCUUCAUCUCAGUACGACACCAACUACAACUAUGGAUAUCCGCCAGGCCAUCCGUGGCAAUAAACCAACUUAGGCCAAAAGCCUAAGCUUGGGGGAGUACGUAUUUCUCACCGACAUUACAUUCAUGUUCACACACCCAUUGCUAGUUGUCGGUGCUCAUACUUUUUCACUGUAAUAUCCAUGCUAGUUUACUUUCUUUUUCUUGCUUUCUUCUUGUGUGUUUGAUAAACCUUAAGAAAAACCAAAAAAUUAGUAAUAGCUUUUAGCUAGUUUACUUUCUUGCUGUAGUAAUAAUAAUUAAAUAGAAAACCCAAAAGAUUUCUUGUUCUUCAUUUGCUUGUUGGGAGCUUUCCCGUGUAAAUAGUUUUAUUUCUUUUCUUUUCUUUGGGGGUCGAUAGGAGAAGACCAUGAUUAAAUUGUUGAAGUGGCUCUUAUAUGCAUUAUUGUUGAUUCAACCAAGAGCCCAUAUUGCCUUGUCUUCUCCUGUUUAUUGAAUGCUCGCAGAUUCCAGCUUAGUCCAAUGCACGUGCACUAUUAUUAUUAUUCACAUCGAUCGGUCGUGCAAGUGAAAGGCAAUUAUGACAAUAUAUGAUGGACUGAUUGAGAUGAGAGAAGCUGGUAUGAAUUCGACCUCUCUUGUUUUUGUAAUAUGAUUAGUUCAUCGUUCCCGAUUCAACCUAUUAAGAAUAAACAUGUUUGCAAUGACAAUUAGAGAUUAUAGUUGCUCGUGCCAUGCUUGAUUAGCUAUGAGUUAUAAUGGUUUACCUUGCGUGCCAACAUGCUAUUAAAAUGGUUGUGAUGUGGUAUAGUGGGGUGGUAUCCUCCUAUGAAUGAUUCAAGUGACUUGACUUGGCACAUGUUCACGCAUGUAGUUGAAACAAAAUCAACAUAGCCUUCACGAUAUUUAUGUUCAUAGUGGAUUAUAUCCUACUCAUGCUUGUACUCAAUGUUUAUUAAUUUUAAUGCAUGUUCAUGACUGUUGUCGCUCUCUAGUUGGUUGCUUCCCAGUCUUUUGCUAGCCUUCACUUGUACUAAGCGGGAAUACUGCUUGUGCAUCCAAUCCCUUAAACCCCAAAGUUAUUCCAUAUGAGUCCACUAUACCUUCCUAUAUGCGGUAUCUACCUGCAGUUCCAAGUAAAUUUGUAUGUGCCAAACUCUAAACCUUCAAAUGAAAUUCUAUUUUGUAUGGUCGAAUAGCUCAUGUAUCAACUAGGGAUGUCCGUAUCUUCCAUGCUAGCCGGGUUAUUCUCAAGAGGAGUGGACUCCGCUCCCCACUCAUGAGAAAAUGGCUGGUCACAGGGAUGCCCAGUCCCAUGCUUUAUGCAAACUAAAUCAAAAUAAUUGCAAACAAAACUCCCCAUGGGACUGUUGUUAGUUGGAGGCACUCGUUGUUUCGAGCAAGCCAUGGAUUGAUGCUUGUUGGUGGAGGGGGAGUAUAAAUUUUACCAUUCUAUUUGGGAACCGCCUAUAAUGUGUGUAGCAUGGAAGAUAUCGCCAUCUCUUGGUUGUUAUGUUGACAAUGAAAGUAUGCCGCUCAAAAUAUUAGUUAUCUCUAUUUCAAAAUCGAGCUCUGGCACCUCUACAAAUCCUUGCUUCCCUCGCGAAGGGCCUAUCUAUUUACUUUUAUGUUGAGUCAUCACCCUCUUAUUAAAAGCACUAGUUGGAGAGCACUGCUGUCAUUUGCAUCCAUUACUAUUAAUUUAUAUUGGGUAUGACUAUGACUGGAUCUCUUUUACCAUGAAUUACAAUGUUUAGUCAGUCCUUGAUCUUUAAAGGUGCUCUGCAUUUAUGUUUUGCGGUCUCAGAAAGGGCUAGCGAGAUACCAUCUUGUUAUAUCAUAUCAUGAUUGUUUUGAGAAAGUGUUGCCAUCCGAGAUUUAUUAUUAUUGUUCGCUAGCUGAUUAUGCCAUUGACAUGAGUAAACAUGAGACCUAAGUGCUAUUGUGAAUAUGGUUAGUUAUAACCUUUACUGAAAACUUGAAUGCUGGCUUUACAUAUUUACAACAACAAGAGCAAACAGAGUUUGUAAAAGUUUUUCUUUAUCACUUUCAGUUUAUCAACUGAAUUGCUUGAGGCCAAGCAAAGGUUUAAGCUUGGGGGAGUUGAUACGUCUCCGUCGUAUCUACUUUUCCAAACACUUUGGCCCUUGUUUUGGACUCUAACUUGCAUGAUUUGAAUGGAACUAACCCAAACUGAUGCAGCUUUCAGCAGAAUUGCCAUGGUGUUAUUUAUGUGCAGAAACAAAAGUUCUCGGAAUGACUUGAAACUCCACAAAACUUAAUUUUGGAAAAUAUUAAAAAUACUAGAAGAAGAAUCCACGUCAGGGGGGCCUCCACCUGUCCACGAGGGUGGGGGGGCGCCCUCUGCCUCGUGGGCCCCCUGUUGCUCCACCGACCUCAACUCUAACUCCAUAUAUUCGUGUUCGUUGAGAAAAAAAUCAGAGAGAAAGAUUCAUCGCGUUUUACGAUACGGAGCCGCCGCCAAGCCCUAAACUCUCUCGGGAGGGCUGAUCUGGAGUCCGUUCAGGGCUCCGGAGAGGGGAAUCCGUCGCUGUCGUCAUCAUCAACCAUCCCCCAUCACCAAUUUCAUGAUGCUCACCGCCGUGCGUGAGUAAUUCCAUCGUAGGCUUGCUGGACGGUGAUGGGUUGGAUGAGAUUUAUCAUGUAAUCGAGUUAGAUUUGUUAGGGUUUGAUCCCUAGUAUCCACUAUGUUCUGAGAUUGAUGUUGCUAAGACUUUGCUAUGCUUAAUGCUUGUCACUAGGGCCCGAGUGCCAUGAUUUCAGAUCCAAACCUAUUAUGUUUUCAUGAAUAUAUGUGAGUUCUUGAUCCUAUCUUGCAAGUCUAUAGUCACCUACUAUGUGUUAUGAUCCGGCAACCCCGAAGUGACAAUAAUCGGGACCACUCCCGGUGAUGACCGUAGUUUGAGGAGUUCAUGUAUUCACUAUGUGUUAAUGCUUUGGUCCGGUACUCUAUUAAAAGGAGGCCUUAAUAUCCCUUAUUUUCCGCUAGGACCCCGCUGCCACGGGAGGGUAGGACAAAAGAUGUCAUGCAAGUUCUUUUCCAUAAGCACGUAUGACUAUAUUCGGAAUACAUGCCUACAUUACAUUGAUGAAUUGGAGCUAGUUCUGUGUCACCCUAUGUUAUGACUGUUACAUGAUGAACCGCAUCCGGCAUAAUUCUCCAUCACUGAUCCAAUGCCUACAAGCUUUUCACAUAUUGUUCUUCGCUUAUUUAAUUUUCCGUUGCUACUGUUACAAUCACUACAAAACCCAAAAAUAUUACUUUUGCUACCGUUACCGUUACUUCCAUAUUACUUUGCUACUAAAUACUUUGCUGCAGAUACUAAGUUAUCCAGGUGCGGUUGAAUUGAAAACUUAACUGCUAAUAUUUGAGAAUAUUCUUUGGCUCCCCUUGUGUCGAAUCAAUAAAUUUGGGUUGAAUACUCUACCCUCGAAAACUGUUGCGAUCUCCUAUACUUGUGGGUUAUCAGUUUACGCGCUCUAGAGUUGGGGCCCUCAGCCACCGUCCAAACCUCGACGUAUCGCCACCAAACCAUGUAUUUAUGAUUAAAUAGGUACUUCUGUAACUAGAAAUUAUUUUUGGAAAACAUAAAGAGCAAACUAUGAGGCACCUGCAGUUCAAAUUUGACCCGCUUCCUGCUGAAUCGGCGGGAAUUUGUCUUUUUACCAGAGGUGGAUCAAAUUUUUUGAAACCGAAACAUUUUUUCAAUUGUGCAUUAUAUAUGGCCUAGGAUUUUAUAAAGUUGAUUAGGUCCAAUUUUGCAACAAAUAUAUGGUAGGUCCUUCACAAAAAAACUCAUUUUGGGCACUCGAAAAAAUGGAAAAUGAAUUUUUCGUCCAAAGAAAAUGAAAACUUCCUUAGGCAACAUUGUUUGUCAUUCCAAGAUGCACCCUUGUGCACGAUAUGAGGUCAUUUGAACAAACUAUGCCAUGAAUGUGGCCAUAAGAUUGAUCAUUUGGCUUGAAAGCCAUGAAUCUUCACACAUGAUAGCUCAUUUCUAAAAACACUUUUUUAAAAUAAUUACCGUAUUACAAGUUUAUUAUUUUUUCUAGAAACUUGGUCACAUAUAAUGACACAAUGCGGAGAUUUUCCAAUUUUUUGAAUUUUUUUGAAUUUUUUAUGCCCAUUUCAAAAUGCGGUCAAAACGACGGGCUUGACCGUUCCUAGCUAGUUGUUGAAUCUUGGAGACCUUUUGAUGUUUCUCUGAUUAAAUAGAUACUUAUGUACCUAGAAAUGAUAUUUGGAAAAAAAUAAAGAGCAAACUACGAGGUAGCUAUAGUUCAAAUUUGACCCGCUUCCAACUGAAUCGGUGGAAAUUUGUCUUUUUCACGAGAGGUGGAUCAAAACUUUUUACACCCAACGAUUUGGUCAAUUGUGCAUUAAAUAUGUCCUAGUGUUUUAGAAAAUUGAUUUGGUAUAAUUUUGCAACAAAUAUAUUAUAGGUCCUUCACAAAAAAACUCAAUUUGGGCACUCGAAAAAUGGAAAAUGAAUUUUUCGUCCAAAGAAAAUGAAAACUUCCUUAGGCAACAUUGUCUACCAUUCCAAGAUGCACCCUUGUGCACAAUAUGAGAUCAGUUGAACAAACUAUGUCAUGAAUGUGGCCAUAAGAUUGAUCAUUUGGCUUGAAAGCCAUGAAUCUUCACACUUGAUAGCUCGUUUCUAAGAACACUUUUUUAAAAUAAUCCGUAUUACAAGUUUAUAAUUUUUGCUGGUAACUUGACCACAUAUAAUGAAACAAUGCGAAGGUUUUCCAAAUUUUUGAUUUUUUUUUGAAUUUUUAUGCCCGUUUCAAAAUGCGGUCAAAAUGGCGGGAAUAACCGUUCCUAGCUAGUGGUUGAAUCUUGGAAUUUUUUUGGUGUUUCUCUGAUUAAAUAGAUACUUAUGUACCUAGAAAUGAUUUUUGGAAAAAAUAAAGAGCAAACUAUGAGGCAGCUCAGUACAAAUUUGACCCAUUUCCAACUGGAUCGACGGAAAUUUGUCUUUUUCAUGACAGGUGAAUCAAAACUUUUGACACCCAAGUAUAUGAUCAAUUAUACAUUAAAUAUAUUCUAAUAUUUUAGAAAAUUGAUUUGGUCCAAUUUUACAACAAAUAUAUUGUAGGUCCUUCACAAAAAACUCAUUUUGGGCACUUGAAAAACGAAAAACGAAUUUUUUAAUCAACCACGAUCAAUUUUUUAGUCAACUACGACCAAUUUAGAUGGUCAUGACAUUGUACCCGUGUGCUGCAUUUUGAUUGGUCUGUGGGCGUUUCACGCGGAUCGUGGAUGGAACACCGUCGGAUGCUCGCGGAUCCAGCGGCAGUCCUCACCCCAAGCCCACCUAAGCCGAAACCCUAGUCCUCGUGGACAUUUUCCAUCCACCCCCCGCCUCCUUUCUUUCUCCCUGCCUCCGCUCCACCAGCCCCGCGACCCGCGACCCCAACCCCUCCCUCCCACGACCUCCUCUCCCCCGAUCCCAUCGGCCGGCGCGACCUCCGCUCCACUAGCCCCGCCAGCGACCCGCUACCCCACCACCGGCGCGCGACAGAUCCAACCCAGCAGCAGCUCAGGUCCCGCGGCCAUGGCAGGGGGAUCCCGAAACCCUACCCUGUGGCGGCUAGGGUUUCAGUCGGCUCCAACUCCAGCGCUGCUCUACCUCCGGCGACUCCCGAGCCCUCAAGCGCCACUCCGUCUCCUGGAUGGCCUCGAGGACGGCAGGUUCUUCCUCAACCUCGAGGACACGCACCGGCAGCCGGCCAUCUCCGUCGAGCCCACCGAUGGCGACCUUCGGAUCUGGUAUGAAUCCCCCCUCUCUCUCGAUCUGUGUGUUGGGGGAACCAGCUCAAUCCCGUCGACCGUGGUGGAAUGAAUCUUCGCCCGGUUUCUUGGAUCUGAACGCCGGCGCUAGGUUUCUUGUGCCGAUUCGGUGCGCAUUAGGUGGCGGCGGCUGGGAUUUUCCCUUGUCCUGUUCCUGCACCUAAUAAAGGUGUCCUUUUCGUUUCGUGUAAUUCGGUUGUGCCCGGGUGCUGAAUCUUCCGUGGAAUCAAGACAUUCCUUGGCAAAUAAGGCGCCUUCGGUGCUCGUCUUGGGCGGAUCUUGUUGCGCCUUCUGGUUGGCACUUGGUUCUUUUGCUGGAUCUGAUCAUGUGAUGCACCCUCACUGACUGUCGUGCAUCAAAUUGGGGGGAGACAAAAUAGCUAAUCUUAGGAGUGCCGUUAUAUGAAACAAAUCAUUUUUGUGGUUCUUGGAUCCAUCUGCCGGCCUGAGCUGGCCGGCCAAGUACUAUACUUUAAGAAUCCGUGUGAUGCACAAUAAUUUAGAGUGUCUGCUGGUGACAGAUAGAUCAGUUCUUAUCCUGGUUAGUAAAACUUAUGGAAAAUAUUUGCAUGUUAUUAGGUGUUUUGUAUUGUCAGACUGCUGUAAUUUUAGAAUUGUGCAUGUCAGGUGAGCUUGGGCUCCUUUCUAUGUACAGUAUAAUUUCGUGACCCAGAACUACCACAUAUCUGGUGGCGCUAGAUGUUUCGACUGUUUUGUUGUUAUAAAUUUGUGCUCUGCGUGCAGAACUUAUAAGAAAGUGUUCCAAUUCUUAUCUGUCAAUUUGUUUUACAGAUUCUGUACUGAGCUGUUAAUUUGUGUGAAAGUUUCUGUACUGCAAUGUUUUAUUUCUUUGAGGGAAAAUGUCUCACAACUUGUGAUGUACACAGGCUGCAGUCUUCCACUAUGGAUCAAUAAGCUUGAUUGCCGAGCCUUGCCGGACAGCGCAUCUGCAUGCCAUGAAGGUUGCCAAAGAGGCCGACGCGCUUCUCUCGUAUGACCCGAACCUGAGGGAGGCAUUGUGGCCAUUCCUUAAGGAGGCUCGCACCAAGAUUUUGAGCAUCUGGGACCAGGCAGACAUUGUCAAGGUCAGCGAGGUCGAGCUCAAGGACACAACGUCAGCAUUAGCAGCAAGGUUCGCCCCGCCUCUCGAUUUCAUCUUCUUCCACUCCAUUGCGUGCUGAUGCUCGUGGACUCCUUCUUCUACAACUUCUCAUCAUCUCCUAUUGAUGUGUGCUCGUAUUGUGUCAAGGAAAGGAAUUCAAGGCCAUGGGAGCUGCUUCUAGUAUAGGACGUGCUGGACCUGUUGCUGCUGCCGGUUGUGUUACCCGACCAAGUCCCCAAGCUGCAUCCUGCUGCUCCUGCCCCGGCCGUCCUCAACUUGCUCCUGGACAGCUACCGCAGGUGAGACAAUUGCCUCCAUCUACUGCAGGUAGAACUACUAUGUAGUUUGGUUGUGGCAGCAACUGUUGUAGGUUGGGUGAACUCUUAGUUUGCCUGCCUUCAGAUAAUGAGAUGGAUAUAGCGCAUAACAUUGCUUCAGACAUUUGCAAUACAUCUCUUAAUUUAACAUCCAUUGGAAUAAAUUAGAUGGGAAUAUAUAUGUGGUUUCAUAAGCUAGUGCUGCUAGUUGUUAUGGGAAUAUAUUCAGCUUCAAUGCUAGUUUGUACAAGAUUUUUGUUUGCUAGGAAACAUGGACAUAUCUUCAGCUUUAAUGCUAGUUGUAUUGUUAGCACAUCCAUAUGUGCAAGAAAACGGUUCAGACAGAGAGGGGUACCUGUUUAUCAUGAUUUUUGCACCACUUUAUCAUCUUGGUUUCCUGUAUUGUACUUUGAAGUUUAUCAUGUUCUGAGCUGACCCUUCAAAUUGGGUUGCAGAGGAGGUAUGGCUGCCGUGCAAUGAUGCUGGAGACUGUUGCCGCAGUGCUGGGGAUGGAGACAGAUUGCAUUGGAAAUAUUCUGUUAUUCCUUACCUAAUGUUCUUGUUGCUGAUAAUAGGGCAUGUAAAUAGCAAGUUAUUUUCCUAGUGGUUACUUAUGCUUAUUGUGUAUCACAUUUAAAAAGAAAAUGCACAAUGAGCUUGUUUUAUCUUUUCUAUGCUUAUGUAUGCUUGAUCAGGGUAGUUCUUUUUUAAUUUGAUGACAAUGAACCAAUAUAACCAGUCAUCAGUAGCUAGUGUGCAUUGCCAAGUACAACAGUUUUACAUUGUAUGGAAUCAUCUAUAGAUAUUAUUUAUCGAUAUGGGUUAACUCAUCCUUAUUGUUCGAUCCUCUCUUUUAGUUAAUAAUGUAUGCAUGCCUUGUAUGUUCUGUGUUCUUUACUAUACUGUUCUGUCCUCGGGCAAUUAAACAUUGUAUCUGUUUUUAUUGUGAUAUGCAACUCUUCAAAAAAAGAAACUACAUUAUGGAGUUACUCAUCUGCAUGGAAUUUCUAUGUAUUCUGGUAGUUUAUUUUUGAUAUUGUAUUGCUGUAUUCCCAAUCUGCGUGGGAGCCGAAGCUCGAUUUGUUCCUGUUUCUGUUUCUGUUUCAGUACUAGUACAAUGUAAUGAUUUUGUGCUUUCAUGAAGUAUUUUGCGCUAUUUUUUUUCUGUCGAGCAAUUUAGAAGACCUGUAGAGCAUUUAACUAGACAGUUGACUUUGCAUGUGCAACUAUGCUUGCUUAGAGCAGCCCUUGACUGGCUACAUUAUUGUGAUGGACCGUGCUGUUCUUAGUUGUGCUACAGUAUGUGUUCCGUGUUGUUUGCACUUGUUAGCCAAAUCAUUGCACACGCAGUGUUAACGCGAUGUUGUAAAAUUCCUGUUUGUACAAUGUAUCUGCUACAUAUGUUUUCAUCUUGAUAGCUAGCAGCCUAGCACCAUGAACUUUGAUUGUAAAAUCUCUAUAUGCUGUAAAAUUAAUUGGGCCAGUCUCGAAUUUGUUGUGAAUUGUAAGAUGCUUCAAGUAAAUGGUUUUUUGUCUUCUCACGUGUAGGCGGUCAGGCGAGACAGCAAGUAGAGGUUCAGUCUGUUGGAGGAGUAUGGCGAGCUGCUGAUUCGGGCUAAACAGGGGCACACUGUGGCAGUAUGUUUUCUGCCUGAACUCCCCUGCACUAAUGUAUUCUGUUUUUACAAGUAAGAUUUAAGAUGUGUUUAUACUCUUCAUGAUCAUCUGCCAUGUAGUAAUCGUUAUUUUUUGUGACUUCUAAAAGCAUUGUACUAGUUGAAUUUGUGUUAUCAUUCUGAAGAACUUGUCCUUUUUAUUGAAUGGUCUCUUCAUAAUAUAUUUGCUCCAGUUUUCUGAUUCUUCUUUGCUGAUUCAUGUAACAGGGCGUCCUGACUAUGAGCAGGAGCAGGUGCAUGUGCCUGUUUGUAAUGCUAACGAAGGAGCUCCAUCCUGAAGAAUAUAGUGCUUGUAGAGCUUGUAAAUUAGUUACUCCACUUGUAGAGUUAUUUGUAGAGCAGGAGCACCAUUUUAUUGCGUGUUAUUUGUAGAGCAGGAGCUCCAUACAGAAUCUGGCUCUAUACUGAAUCUGGCUGUUGUUAUUUGAAGUAUUACAUGUGUUUUUUGUCAGUGCCAAUUUAAAUAUUGGUUAUUUAUUUACCGUCAAAAUGAAAUGAGGAAUAUGACCCUGACAAGUCGGACCCACUUGCUAGAACCUGACAACUUGGACCCACUUAUGAGAACAUGAUAACUGGGAUUAAUCUGACUAGUGGACCCAUGAUGCAUAUAUAAAAACAAACUGUUGAGAAAAAAAAUAAAUACUUGAACUGAGCAGCCAAAAUGGCCAUGGCCCAAAAAAUAAAAAGGCUGCGAUGUUGGGCUUGGCCCAUGAAGCUAACAAAAAUUGAUAGAAAAAAUACACUAAAUUGGCUGAAUUAAUGGGCGCGGCCCAUAUAAACACCCAAUUGGACCGGGCUGAUUCUAAUUUUUGACCUUUUCAAUUGGUCGCAAUUUUGCCACGUCAGAUUGCCACGUCGGAUCCGACGUGGCCUGAGCAGAGAGCUAGCGACCAAAACAGAAGGUCAUGGAAUCAACGACCUUUCGUUUUGGUCGUGGAAUUCCACGACCUUCUCACAGAGAAGGUCGUUAAUUUCAGUUUACGACUGCCAGCUUUUGACCUUCUGUUUUUGUCACAAAAAGGUCGCAAAUGAAAAACAAUGAACUUUCAGUGACCAAUAGUCAAGGUCACAAGUUGACAUAUUUCUUGUAGUGCUUCUGGGCUUUGGAGGAGGAGGACUGAGAGGACGACGACAUGGGAGCUGAGGAGGAGCAGCUGCUGCGCGCGGUACCGGAAGGACCGUCGGUCGGCGAUUUCGUGCCGUUUGGGCAGAGGCGCGCGGUCUGCGUGCGGGGCGCGACCGCCGUUUCGUGCCGGGCGGCCGUGGCUCAAGAGCCAUGGCCUCUCGCAUCUGGCAACCGUCGGCGGUGGUGCACUCGGGCUCGAGCUCGAGAGAUGCGGCGGGGGUGGCUAGGAAAAUCAGGUCCAAGACGGCGGCGAGCCUGGUGGUCGCGGGCGGGGCAGAGCUACGUAGGGAGGAGUGGCCAUGCCUGCCUGCUCCACCUUCCCCCGUGGCGCCGGCGGCGGCGGGGCGCGGUAGGGACGUGUAACACCCUGGAUGUAACUUUUCAUAUUUGUAACUCCAACUCUUGCCAUUUUCGGCUAUGUGUUAUGAUAUUCCCUUCGUGGCCGGGUUUUGUUUUUUCGUUUUGCAUUUUGUUCAUGUCAUGCAUCUCAUAUCAUGUCAUCAUGUGCAUCUCAUUUGCAUACGUGUUCGUCUCAUGCAUCCGAGCAUUUUCCCCGUUGUCCGUUUUGCAAUCCGGCACUCCCACACGCACCGACGCACCCCUCUUGUUUCUUUUCAUGAGCGGGUGUUAAACGUUCUCGAAAUGGACCGAGGUUUGCCAAGUGGCCUUGGUAUAACACCGGUAGACCACCUGUCAAGUUUCGUUCCAUUUGGAGGUCGUUUGGUGCUCCAACGGUUAACCGGGUAACCGCAAAGGUCUUUUGUGUGUUGCAGCAAAACCCCCUCCAAACAGUCCAAUAACCCAUCUAAGUCCCCUCCAUGCUCUGGGUCGUUCGAUCACGAUCGUGUGGGCGAAAACCGCACUCCGUUUGGAGUCUCCUAGCUCCCUCUACCUAUAAAUAUGUGUUUCCCCUCCGAAAUCCGGGUCCCGAAACCCUAGCCCCGCUCCCUCCGCGCNNNNNNNNNNNNNNNNNNNNNNNNNNNNNNNNNNNNNNNNNNNNNNNNNNNNNNNNNNNNNNNNNNNNNNNNNNNNNNNNNNNNNNNNNNNNNNNNNNNNNNNNNNNNNNNNNNNNNNNNNNNNNNNNNNNNNNNNNNNNNNNNNNNNNNNNNNNNNNNNNNNNNNNNNNNNNNNNNNNNNNNNNNNNNNNNNNNNNNNNNNNNNNNNNNNNNNNNNNNNNNNNNNNNNNNNNNNNNNNNNNNNNNNNNNNNNNNNNNNNNNNNNNNNNNNNNNNNNNNNNNNNNNNNNNNNNNUCGCCUCCCUCGCCGACGUUCGGCCGCCUCCCGAGCUCCUCCGCCGCGCCUCACCCUCUUCUUCUCCGGCGCCGAGCUCCGGCCGCCUCCUCUCCCGCGCCGAUCCGCACCGAACCCUAGAUCUCGCAGGUUGAUUUUCCCCUCCCCUCGAUUUCUGCGAAGUCCCGAAAUAUUGCAUUAUGUGCUCAUGUUCAUCGCAUCACAUCUCAUUACAUACUGCUCCAUUUCGUACGUGUAAUAUAUGAAAAUGUUCGUCUCGAGAUGCUCUUCAUUUUGUUCCAUUGUACCAUGCUCGUUUGAGUCCAUCUUGAUGCCCAAAUCUCUGGUGCAAGAGUGCUAUAUGAUGUUUUCUGCUGUUACUUAUCAGAACUUGGUGUUUUGUUAUUUUUGUUGCAUUUGAUGUGUGCAUCUUAUGGGCAUGAUCUCUACAGGUGUAUUAAUCUAUGCCAUGCCAUCUUUACAGAGGUGUAUGCCAUGUAUUUUGGUGAUCUAUGUGGUGACUAGCACAAGCAUGCAAACUAGGCUUCGUGAUAUUUCUGUUUUCAGGGACUUAGAAUUUGGCGAAGUCAGUGACUGCUGUUAUUUUGUUGCCAUGUAUCCAUGUGGCUACAGAGAGACCCGUGCUUCUUUUGGGAAUGUUCAGUAAGGAUGUUUUGUAGAUGGAGUGCCCUAACAUGUCUUAAUCUUGCUCUACUUUUGCUAUAAAAUAUUCCUGGCAGAUUGUUAACAUGAUAUUCAAUUUUGCCAAGGUUGUUGUAGUUGAUCCAUACAUGCUAUAUAUUUGCUCUUGCCAUGGUUAGCUUCAUAAACAUGCCAUCUUGCUGUAGGUAUUCUUGACUUGGCAUCCAUUUCUUUGUGAUGAGUGAAUCAAGCUCACCAACAUGCCUUCACAACUCUGUUAAUGCCAUGCUCUGUUUUCUGCUAAGUCUGAAACCUGUUAACGAAACUUGCUAUGUUUACAUGGGUGCCAUCUUCUCUUCUGAUCCUUUUUGGCUCAUGACUUUUGUUCUUUAAAUUUAGUAGAUUCAUGCCAUGCCUUGUUUUGCUAUGUUAAGUUCCUGUAGCAUGUGUUUUGCUUGCUCUGAACAUUGCUACCUGAUGCUGUUUCAGCCAUGUCCAGUAAUUUCACUAAGUCUGUGAUCCUGAUAUCUUUUGCACCUUUGCCAUGCUUGUUUGAACCUGUUAUACUGUGAUCUAGCCGUAGCUCAGUGUUCAUCUUUUGUCAAGAUUCUCCUGUAGAUUACUGCCAUAUGCUUUGUUGCUAUGUUGGAGUGCUUUAGCAUAGUUACUUGUUGCAUUCUAAGUGCUAUCAUGCUGUUAAUCGCAGAUUCGUGUCAUUCUUGUUUUGCUUGCCAUUUGCAAACCGUGCCUCCGUUUCCGGUGAUCUUUAUAUCGAUUUCGACCGAAAUCAUCUCAUCUUUCCAGUGGCAUACUUGGUUUGCCAAGUUACUGCCUUGUUCAUUAUUUUUCUUCCGGAGCACACAUAUGCAUCGCAUAUCAUAUUUCGCAUAUCAUGCAUGUUUUGCAUCAUGUUGUUUGUGCAUUUCCCGUGAUUGAUUGUGGUUCCAUUGCUUGUGUUCUUGCUGUGGGUAGAGCCGGGAGAUGAGUUCGUGAACGAGGAACCUAUUGAGUACGCUUACGAGGAUCAAGCUUUCGACAACUCUGAGAACCUUGCAGGCAAGAUGACCAUACUCUCCAAAUCACUUCUAUCUUUGCUUUGCUAGUUGUUGAGGAUAUAGACCUGGGAGUCACCCGCCAGGAGGGCCGGGUUACACUAAGGGUCAUUGCCAGAAGCCCGGAGCUAAGUUCCAAGAUAAUGGGCCAGAGAUGGGCUGAGACCCGGAUAUGGCUUAAAGCCCGUAGUACAAUCUUUAUUGUUAUAGUAGAACUUGUAGUAUAAGGCAAGUAUUGUUUAGAGUCCGAGCCGGACACUCUUAUGAGCCGGCCGGGACUCUAAGGGCCACUGGGUGUCAACCUCCCUAUAUAAAGGGACGACCCGGCAGCGGUUUAGGGGCGACAACAAUCUGAUCGAGAGCCGGGCAUAGCUGUUUAGCUCCCUGGUUAUCGAAACCCUGAUUAAUACCACCUCAACUGGACGUAGGCUUUUACCUUCACCGUAAGGGGCCGAACCAUUAUAAACCCUCGUGUUCCUUGUCCCACUUAACCCCUUCAAGCUUCCCAAUUGCGAUGGCUCCACGACUAAGUCCUAACCCGAGGACAUCUGCCGUGACAAUUCCACGACAGUUGGCGCCCACCGUGGGGCUGGCGCACGGUGUAUUUGAGUUCUUGAAGGGCAGCUUCGAAGGGCUCAAGGGAUACGCUGUGGGCCGGAUGACCAAGAGUCGUCGCGGCAAGCUCUACAUCGACGAUGCGGACUGGGGCCCCGACGCCGGCUCAGUGGAGUACGGGUACCGGGUCCCCUUCGGUGGAGUUCAUGUCUUCAUCGGCAAGAUUGGUGAGCCGGGCCCCGAGCCGGAUCCCCGCGCCGAUCUCAUCGAAACGGCUCAGCGCGCACGACCUGCCCGGGCCCGGCCUGCCUUAAGGCGCGCUUUUGUGGGAUGCAUCCACGGAGGGCCCUCUGAUCCAUCCGGGUCUGGUGAUGAGGCGGCCGCCGGCUCUGACGGCGAGUCGGCCGCUGAUGAGUCAAACUCGUUGUACCAACUUCAAGAUGGCAGGCUCAUGAGUUAUUCCGAUGGCAACAGUAUUCCGGACCUUUUUGAGCCACCAAGUCAGGUCGGAGUUUUUAUGGCUGGUGCGCAGCCUGUUCAGAACCCCGCUGCCGGAUCGGAAAACCCGGUGCCUUCCCCGGCUCAGGUGCUGAUGGAUCUCACGGAUAAGAUGACGGCCCUGUUAACCGCCACGGUCGACCCGGCGGAUCAAGUUCAGCAUGAUGCGGCGGUGGCACAGCUAAAAUUGGAUCUGAUAAAAGCUAAAGAGGACCUUGCAGCGGAAGGGAUCAGACUGGCUGCGGAGCGGGCGGCUCUCGAUGCCCGGACUCAGCUGAUUCAGGCGCAGUCCUUCCAACUCACGAUGGAUCAGAACGCGGCCAAUGAGGUCAUGAGAAGGAGGCAUCAAAAGGCUCAAUCUCGACUCCCGCCGGUUUACGAUCCCCGCAACCUCUUCAACACACCGGGUGCAGGGUCUAGUCACCCGCCGGGGGUCGUAGCACCCGGAUCUGGACCCCUUAUUCAACCACGAGUGAUGGGGCCUCCCCAGGGGCCCCCCGCCCUGCCUCAGUAUGUGCCAAUACCCCCGGGCCAUUAUAAUAACCCGCUGGAGAACAUGGUCGCCGCAGCGGCACGGCUGGCGGCUCUGCCCGUUGAUGGCGACUCUCCGACGGCUAUUGAGACCCGCCGGGUCAGAGAACUCCUUCAUACAGCACUGGCGCAACAAGAGGCGUACUCCUACAGCCGGGAUAGGAUCCACUCAACCCCUCGUCCAGGGCAGAGCCCGAGUUACAACCGGCACAUGGUCUCGGCGACCGGCUCAAGUAAUGUCCGACGCCAUGACCCGCCCCCUGGUCAUGGCCCGGCUCAUAAUGGAGCCUUCUACGUAGCAGACCAAGCACGCCAGGAGGCGGAGCAGGCGCCUCAAUUGACGGCUUACCAGACCCCCCCGGCUUAUCCGACGACGUCCGUUGAUGCGGGUAUCCCUACCAGAACCGGGGGUGUCCCUUGUUUGGUGCCAGCUAUCCGUAAUGAACGUCUACCCAAGGACUUCAAAGGACCUAGGAAGGUGCCUAACUAUACAGCAGACUUACAGCCUGCAGCCUGGAUUGAGAGUUAUGAGAUGGCUAUGGAAUUACUGGAAGUCAGUGAGGCGGCCAUGGCCAAAUAUUUCACCAUGAUGUUAGAUGGAACUGCCCGCACGUGGUUGAAAGGGUUACCGCCGAACUCCAUCGGGUCUUGGGCUGAGCUGAAAGCCCGGUUCAUUCAAAACUUCAAAGAUACCUGCAGGCAAUCUAUGUCAAUCGUGGAUCUGACUAACUGUAAGCAGCAGGAGGGUGAAUCCACGACCCAUUGGGUUCGCCGGGUCAAGGAGAUCAUACAUUCAUCGGAUAAGAUGGAUGCCGGCUCUGCAGUCUUAAUGUUGGAACAAAACUAUCGCUUUGUACCCCUAAAGAUGAAACUCGGGCGGCUUAAGCGUGACUGUACUGAUAUGGGUACACUGAUGGCAGCUCUUGUCAAGUACGCCGAUUCCGAUGGUACCAAGGAUCCCCCUUCAGAUGAUGAAAGGGUAGGGAAGGGAAAGAAGAACGGCAACGGCAAGGGUCCUCAGUUUAGCCCAGGGAACCAAGGAGGAGGCAAGCGCAAGGCCGAUGGCAGCCUAGAGUUUGUAGCCAACACCAACUCUCAAGGUAAUAACCAGCGACGCAAGGGGAGGCCCCCUCCCCGAGGCGGCGGGUCAGGACCUUCUCUGGAACAGCUGUUGAAUGAACCUUGUCCGAGACACGGUUCUAGAGAGAAGCCGGCGACUCAUCCGUGGAAGGAUUGUGCUAUCAUGAAGGCCUUUAAAAACUACAAUGGUCCGGGUGGCGGCUCAGGCGCCGGCGGCUUUCAUGGCCCGGGCGGCGGGUCAAAUUCCGGUCCUCAGAACAGUCAAGGGGGCUUUAAUCAACAGUCUGGUCAGGGUCAUCAACAGCAACAGGGGGGCUAUCAGACCAACCCAAAGCAGCUUAGCGGUGGACAGUAUCACGUGUUCACCACUAGUUUGUGCAAACGAGACGAGAAGCUUCACAAGAGGGCUGUUAAUGCUGUUGAGCCGGCGGUUCCACGCUACUUACGGUGGUCGGAGCAGCCCAUAGUGUGGAGUAGGGAGGAUCACCCUCCCCGGGUGGAUAACCCGGGCCACCUGGCCUUAGUGGUGGCUCCUCAAGUGGGAGGCUAUAAGUUCACAAAGGUACUCAUGGAUGGAGGCAGCAGCAUCAACAUCCUCUAUUAUGAGACUUUCCGUCGUAUGGGACUAGUUGAUAAGAACCUCAGCCAGUCAAAUACUAUCUUCCAUGGUGUGGUACCCGGUAAAUCGGCUUAUCCAGUCGGCAAGAUCGAACUGGAAGUGGCCUUCGGUGAUGAGAACAACUACAGGGUGGAGAAGUUGACCUUUGAGGUGGUCAAGAUAAGAAGUCCUUACCACGCCAUAUUUGGACGGCCGGCUUACGCCAAGUUCAUGGCACGGCCGUGUUAUGUGUACUUACAACUCAAGAUGCCGGGUCACAACGGGACCAUUACGGUUCACGACAGCCGGAAAGUGGCUCUGGAGUGUGAGGAAGGUGACGCGGCUUAUGCAGAGUCUGUUUGUGCCACAGAAGAGUUGAAAUUUUAUAAAGACAAUGUUGACCCAACAGAUAUGACCUCUCUGAAAAAGCCAACCACGGAGAAUGAACCAGCAAUGAAGUUUAAAUCAGCUGAUGAGACUAAACUUGUUGAUUUUGUUCCAGGUGACUCGUCUCAGCAGUUCAGCAUCAGUGCAAAUCUGGACCCGAAAUAGGAAGGCGCGCUCAUCGAGUUCAUCCGUGAGAAUAGGGACAUCUUCGCAUGGAAACCUUCUGACAUGCCAGGUGUACCUAGAGAACUCGCUGAGCACACUCUCAAUGUUGAUCCAAAAUUUAAGCCGGUCAGACAGUUCCUUCGACGGUUUAACGAAGAGAGGCGGAAGGCUAUUGGUGAAGAAGUGGCCCGGCUUUUGGCGGCCGGGUUCAUUGUUGAGGUUUUUCACCCAGAGUGGUUGGCUAACCCGGUGCUUGUACUUAAGAAGAACGGCACCUGGCGGAUGUGUGUGGACUACACGGACUUGAACAAGGCGUGUCCGGCUGAUCCUUUUGCUCUCCCCCGUAUUGAUUAGAUCAUUGAUGCUACGGAAGGUUGUGCACGCUUAAGUUUCUUGGAUGCCUAUUCCGGGUAUCAUCAGAUUGAGAUGGCAGUUAAGGACCAGGAGAAGACGGCGUUCAUCACUCCCUUUGGAGCCUUCUGCUAUGUCUCUAUGCCCUUUGGGCUCAAGUGUGCGCAGGCGACUUACCAGCGUUGUGUACAGAAUUGUCUCCAUAAACAGAUCGGGCGCAAUGUUCACGCUUACGUGGACGAUAUUGUGGUUAAGUCCAUCAAGGAGGAAACCCUGAUAGAUGACUUAAGGGAAACCUUCGAUAAUCUCCGGGUCUACAAGAUGAUGCUUAACCCGGCCAAAUGUGUUUUUGGUGUUCCUGCGGGCAAGCUAUUGGGCUUCUUGGUUUCUGACAGAGGAAUUGAAGCUAACCCGGAGAAGAUCAAAGCUAUCACUUCUCUAGCUAAGCCGGCAUGUAUAAAUGAUGUUCAGCGUUUGGCAGGUCGCAUCGCUGCUUUAAGCCGGUUCAUAAGCCGCUUGGGUGAGAAGGCUAUGCCCUUAUAUCAGUUGAUGAAGAAAACGGAUAACUUUGUCUGGAAUGAUGCAGCUAAUACCGCCUUCGAGGAUUUGAAAAAGCAACUGGCUGAGCCCCCCGUCCUUGCUGCUCCGGUUGAUAAGGAGCCCUUGCUACUGUAUGUGGCGGCAAACACACGAGCCGUCAGUGUGGCUAUGGUGGUGGAGCGUAAGGAGACGGGUAAGGAGCAUCCGGUUUUCAGCGGCCGGUUUAUUAUGUCAGUGAGGUGCUUAUUGAGUCCAAGCAGCGAUACCCGCACUGGCAGAAGCUUGUAUAUGGUGUGUUCAUGGCGAGCCGGAAACUCAAGCAUUAUUUUCAGGGUCAUCCCAUCACUGUGGUCAGUUCUGCCCCUCUUGGGGAUAUUAUCCAGAACCGAGAGGCUACAGGGAGAAUUGCUAAGUGGGCUAUUGAGCUUGGGCCUCAUGGCCUCAAAUAUGUGCCACGCACUGCUGUUAAGUCUCAGGCUUUGGUGGAUUUUAUUAAUGAUUGGACAGAGUCGCAAGUGCCUGAGCAGAAGCCGGAUAACACCUAUUGGACUAUUCACUUUGAUGGGUCCAGGCAGCUGGAGGGCUCGGGGGCUGGUGUUGUAUUGGCUUCCCCUAGGGGUGACAAGUUCCAGUAUGUGCUACAAUUGAUGUUUCCUUGCACUAACAAUGCGGCUGAAUACGAGGCCUUACUCCACGGUCUUCGGGUGGCUAAGGAGAUGAGCUUAAGCCGGGUACGGUGCUUUGGGGACUCAGAUUUGGUGGUUCAACAAGUAUCAGGCACUUGGGAUUCUAAGGAUCCCCUCAUGGCGGCUUAUCGCCACGAGGUUGAUGCCAUUGCUGGGCAUUUUCAGGGAUAUCAAGUGGAGCACAUUGACCGCAGGAAGAAUGAGGCGGCUGAUGCUUUAAGCCGGCUCGGCUCUCAGCGAAAGCCGGUGCCGCCUAACACUUUCCUGGAUGUCCUAUAUAACCCUUCGGUUAAGUUGCCUACAGAGGAGGACUUGGCUAUCCCUGACCCGAAGGCACGACUGGUGGCGGUUCUUCAUGUCAUACCAGACUGGACAAUGCCGUACUUGGUUUAUAUAACCCGGGGAGAGUUGCCUGAGGAUGAAACUUUGGCCAGGCAAAUAAUCCGGCGGGCCAAGUCAAUGAUUGUUAUCAACGGCGAGUUGCAUCAUCGCAGUGUUUCAGGGGUAUUUCAGCGUUGUAUUCCCCUGAGGAAGGUCAAGAGAUCUUGCGCGAGAUCCAUGAAGGGGAUUGCGGCCAUCAUGCCGGCUCAAAAUCCCUUGUGGCCAAGGCAUUCCGUCAUGGUUUUUAUUGGUUGACGGCUCACGCUGAUGCGGAGGACUUGGUCAGUAAGUGUGAUGGUUGUCAGAGGUUCUCCCGACGGGCUCAUGUGCCGGCUCAGGAAUUGAGGAUGAUCCCGAUCACUUGGCCCUUUGCGGUCUGGGGGCUUGAUAUGGUCGGGCCUUUUAAACGGUCCAAGGAUAAGAAGACCCACCUCUUGGUGGCAGUGGACAAAUUCACGAAGUGGGUGGAAGCUGAGCCAGUUAGCAAGUGUGAUGCAGCCACGGCGGUUCAAUUUAUGAAAAAGGUGAUCUUCCGCUUCGGCUUUCCGCACAGCAUCAUAACAGACAAUGGCACUAAUCUGUCCAAAGGCGCUAUGGAGGAGUUUUGUCAACGAGAGCAUAUCCGGCUUGAUGUUUCUUCAGUGGCUCAUCCCCAGUCCAAUGGUCAAGCUGAGAGAGCUAACCAGGAGAUUCUGAAGGGCAUCCCUUUGCAACGGACGCCGGGUUGUUGGGUGGAGGAGUUGCCCUCCGUCUUAUGGAGCAUCAACACUACUCCUAACAGGUCUACUGGCUUCACGCCUUUCUUCAUGGUUUAUGGGGCAGAAGCGGUCCUCCCUAGCGACAUCCGUCACGAUUCACCUCGUGUGGCGGCUUAUGUUGAGACGGACAAUGAACAGGCGCGCCAAGUUGCUCUGGACUUGUUGGAUGAACAGCGUGAUGUGGCAGCAGCCCGUUCAGCGAUUUACCAACAAGACCAGCGCCGUUAUCAUAGCCGCCGGGUCAAAACCCGGGUCUUCCAGGAAGGCGACCUUGUGCUCCGGCUCAUCCAGGAUCAAACAGAUGCACACAAAUUAUCCCCACCUUGGGAAGGGCCCUUUGUGGUCAGUAAGAACUUGCACAACGGGUCAUAUUACCUCAUUGAUGUUCGGGAGCGUAAAGAUUCGCGUAAAUCUGAGGAGGAGACCCGUCGGCCGUGGAAUAUCGCUCAGCUUCGGCCUUAUUACACUUGAGCUACCGGCUCUUGUGGUGUACAUAUUUAUCUCAGACAUAUAUAUAUUAUGAUAAGCAAAUAAAGCAGGACCUCUGUCCUUUUUUCUCCUCCAAAUAUACAUGUCAUACUACUUUGAAAAGAGGAUCCGGCUUAUGAUCGCAUUUGAGUCUAGCCGUAAGCAGUAAGAUCACUUGGGGGCUUCCUGUUUAAAUAUGGGUCGUAUUCGAACCAAAGAGAACAUAGCUGUCGAUACCCAUUUGAUUGGCAAAGUGCCGAGCUCAUUGGGAGGUUGCCUUUGGUCAUAUUUGAAUCAUAGUGUAACCCCUCUGAGAACCGACGUGGAUCGUAUUCGAAUCAGCGUCGUUAAACAAUUUUCAGAAUCACUUGGGGGCUUCCUGUUCAAACAUGGGUCGUAUUCGAACCCAAGAGAACAUAGCUGUCGGUACCCUCUUGAUUGGCAUCGCCACACCCAUUGGGGGCUAUAUGAUCGUAUCCGAAUCUUGGCUUAAACCCCUUUCGGGCCGGGUCUCUGGUCGUAUUCGAACUGGAAGCCCCUAAGUUCCGAUUUAUCGCAAAGUCUACUCUGAUUAUGACAACGUGUGCAUGGCCGGGUUUCGCUUGACCGGCUUAAUUUUGGAGUUAUCUUGUUAAUUGAACAUCCUGGAUGUCAUCAAGACAAGUCCAUUAGAGUUAAGAUACCAACCAUGCUACCCGGGUCAUUUAAUCCGGAGGGUGGUAAGCCGUCUUGAGACUUGUGACUUACCUUUCUAUGCAGAUGCUUGAAGGUACUUUUUUAAAGGUUGAGAAGCACGAAGGAUAAUUAUGACCCGGAGGAGCAUCAAAAGAAUGACUUCAAAGGAUUUCAGCAUUCAUUACGUGCACGAUGGCACGGCAGAGAUAAAUUGUUGCACUUAAAUCUUUCAAAGUUUCAAGGGUGGAGCGUUGUUUGGUGAGCCGCUAGCCGGUUUAUGACGCCUGCUGAGUCGAAGUCCCCGGUUCAUCUUCUGCUCCGGCUGAUCCCAAGGCUUCGAAGGUCGACGAUUUCCAGUUGAUGCCGCUGAGAGCUUCGAACUGAGCUUCUUCGUCAAUUAACCCGGCCGGGUCAAUCUCGGGGGCGUAGAUGUGUUGGCGAGCCGGAGGAAUCAGACUAAGAGCUUCAUAGCGAGGGGUUGGAAUCCUCUGAUUCUCCGCGUUGUACCCCGGCUGAUACUUGGUUAAGUCGGUGUCGUUCCCGAUGAUGGUGGCCACCGGGCGUACAGCCUUCACGCAUGCCGCGAAAUCCUUCUGGUCGAAGGUGGAGCCGUCUUCCUUCAGGCUGGGGUAACCCAGGGCGAUGUCUGCCGGGUCUAGCUCCGGCAGGAAGGCUUUGGCCCGGCUCAGCGCGGCAAUUGCUCCGGAUCUUGCGGAGGCUCGACGUAGCUCUUGGAUUCGCUGUGGCAAAACUGCGAGCCGACGCAGGACUUCAGCCAGAUGGGUUGGCACCUCAUUGGAUAGGGCCACCACAGCUAAGGUGCGCUGUGACCCGGUGUAGAGUUGUUCCACCAGGGUGUACACGGCCUUUAGCUUGGUGACCACGCUCUGGUUGAGGUUGGCACUCCUGGGACCUGUUUAAUAAAGGCCAGGUAAGCCGGUGACAAGGGUGAAUCGUAACAUGUGCAGACUUGAUGAAAGCCGGUGAGGCGACUUACCGAAGAUAGCAGCCACCAUUUGGGAAACCUGGUGCUUUAGACCGGAGAGCUCAGCGGUCUUCUCAGUGAGGGCCUUCUCCGCCUGUUCUGCCCGGGUCACCAGUGCGGCUUUCUCCUCAGCCCAGGCCUUCCGCUCAGCGUCGAAUUCAGUCUUCAAUUUCUCCUGAGCGGCGAUGCUGGAGACAAACUUGGCAUUCGCCUUCCGGGUCUCCAUCUCUUGAGUUUUUAACCGGCUCUUGAGACCCGCAAGGUCCGACUCAAAUUUCUUGCCAGUAGCCUGUAUAUAUUUCCGGGUUAUUAAACAGUCAUUAUAUAAGUCCCAAGCACUUUCCAAGCAAAGACACUUGGCACUUGGGGGCUAAUGCAUAUUGAACGUGUCUAUCUACGUACUGCUGGUUCAAUUAAGUAAGCCGGACUCUAAGUCUACAACAUAUGCCAAGUAUAAGUUAUAGACUUGGGGGCUAGCAUGACAAGGAUCACUAUGCGGAAAGUAAGAAGACAGCAGAAGGUUACCUCAGACUUUUGUUGGAUCUGAUUGACCAUGGCGAUCUCCGCGUCCCAGCUCUUGUGAACCUGGCUGAUGUAGCCAGAAACGAGCUCUCCAAUGCUCAAAUCGGGGUAGCCCGAGAGAUCCAGAUUCGCCCGGUGGGGUCGCAGCAGCUCCCCCUUCGCGGAGCAUUGGGCCAGUGCGGUCGGCCUCCCCGGCUCAACAUACUCCGUCCGGGUAAUUACCACGUCCGGGUCGUUAGCCGGUGGGGUUGAGCCGGAGGCCUCCGGAUUAGCUGACGCUUCGGUCGUUGUCUUGGUGGUCGGGGCAGGGGCUUCAGGCGCCGUAUCCAUGGGAAUGGUGGCCUCGGAGGCGGCUGGCGGAUCUUGAGCCGUCGUCUCCGGCUCAGGCAAGUCCGGCACUCCGGCUGAUCUGGUCUUCUUUGCUCUUUUGGUGAGCUUUGCCUGGGCACUGAAAAGACAGAAGUGUUAGGCAUACAAGGAGUAAAUACAGACAGGUAAUGUAAGGUGAUUGUUAUUACCCGGGUGCAGUUUUGAAGGCCGGCAGACUUGACUGCAUGGAGUCACCAGAAGAAGGGGAGGUCUCCUGGUAAUUGGAGUCAGAAGAAUUAAGCGGUUGACGGAUAACACCUGCCAACGGAUGAAAAGGGUACAAGUGAGAAAAGACCUCGGUGCGACGUUUCCUUGUCGCGUCGGGUAACCCGGCGGAGAGGUCGGUGUCCUUGCGGGCCCGGGUGAGACGCCGGCUUUCGUGAACCUGCUGCUUCAAAA
rnacentral:lncRNA from 1 species